GUGUGUGUGUGUGUGUGUGUGUGUGUUCUACAGUUAUUGGCUGAGUCACGUGAGCGAGAAGAAAGAGAGCAGCAAGCACGCACGUUGACUACUUUUUACCAGUUGUAGACCUCGUCAUGCUGAUCAGGGUGAAAUUCAAUGGUGAACGAAAAUAUGAGAAGAUCAUUGACCUGACACUUGAAAAUCUUUUGAUUGGAGAGAGCAUACUGAAGAAAAAGCCUGGUGGAGAGGUUGUCAUCAAGGAAUACUCCAAAACUAACUGACUGCACCAGACUAAAGGACAUCACCACCGCAUGAGAGAAACAUUUGCACAAGGCAUCAUCUCCUUGUUCCUAUACCUGAAGGAUUCCUACACGACAAAUGGAUAUGAACAUUACUACGACCCUAAUAGUGGAGAAGGGUACCUCUCGUAUAGAAUCAAAACCAUUCAGAUGAAUUUGGCUUCAUCAGAGAAACGGCCCACUCAACUAUACUCUGGAGGGCCAACUGCUUAGAGGGAGUCCAGUCCAUCCACUUUGGCUACCCUGAGGGAAGACCAGUGCAGAGAGGCCAUUUAUCUUAUGAAGCAUUCUUCUGAUGAAGAAACAGUCAAACAGAAGAUGAAAUUGACCUUUGAGUACAGGAAGAUGACCUACGACCCGAAUUGAACCUGAUUUUGUGCUGCUGUUUGGAGAGGGAACAUCAUUCAAGUUUUUGGAGAGGUGGCCAACUACAUUCAAGCAAAAUAUCAUCCUUCUAAGCAAGACCCUAAGCAAAGCAGAAUCUGCAGUUGAUGAGGGAGCUGAGGGAUGAGGGAGCUGACACGAAUGCUGAUGGUUACCGAAACACCACUUCAUGAUACAUUAUCCUCGUUGUAUGCGCUACGAGGCAAAACAUAAUUUCUUUAAAAAGCAACUGAAGAGUUUUAAGAAUUUCACUAUGACCUUAGCCAAGAAACAACAAAAUUACAUAGCAUAUAAUUGGGAAGCGUUCAGCCAGGGUAGACUAGCUAUAGGUCCAGGAUGGACUAGCUAUAUGUCCAGGGUAGACUAGCUAUAGGUCCAGGAAAGAUGUCAAGGCUCAAUCACCUGAAAGAAGGCCAUGAGAUUGCUACCAAGUUGAAUGUCUCAGUGCACACACACACGUUUUGUCAGUUAAAUGGGUAAAGCACCAUGGUACAGAAUAUCCUCUUGAUUUGGCCAUAUGUGGUGAAGUAGUCAUUGAAGUGCCAGUAUUGUACAAAAUUAAGGCUAUUGUUCUGAAAGAGGAACAUUUUUUUUUUGGUUAGGUCAGCUCUUGAAAUCUUAUGUUUUGUUGAUCAUUUGCAUGCAUUUGAAGUUGUUUUGAAGCCAAGUCCACCAUGCAAGGUAUUUCAUGUAAAUGACAUCAUGUACCACAAACCUUUUGAUUUGUCAAAUGGAGCAAGGGAUUUUUUUGACUACAUUGCCCCCACCUGUCACUUGAUAACAGUUUAAGCCAGGGCUGAUACUUAUGGUUAGGUUGUGAAAAACAUAUUUGUUUUUAAUGUAAAUGUCAGCAUUUUCCAACAAACCUAUUGAUUUGCUCAUGUCAUAUGGAGCAAGGGAUUCUUUUGACUAGAUUCUACUCUCACUUGAUAACAGUUUAAGCCAGGGCUGGGACUUAUGGUUUGGUCAUAAUGAACAUAUUUGAAUCUUGAAACAGCUUUGAUUGAGUUUAUUGUGAAAUUCCUAGUGCCUUUAUAAAAUCUAAUUUCCAUUUACAUGGGGGAAGAGUAAAUACAUUAACACUGAAUAAAGUAAACACAUUUUUACUCUAAUACUCAAAUAGUGUCACUACAACACUUAAAGUGUUGAAUACCUCAGUGUUCAUUUUGAUCAACACCGGCCAGUGUAGUGCAGUGUUAACUUUUUGCACUCCUCUGUGUUAAAACACUAGAAAUGUAACACUUUGAUCAGUGUACUUUUUACUCUGUGUAGAGUGGGACCAUAUAUACUCGCUGACAGUGUUACAUUUAACACUUAAAGUGUUGAUUUAACACUUUCAAAUUUACUGUGUAGGUAGACACCAACACCAUAAUAGGGAGGAGACGACUGGUUCAUAAAUGUGACCUGAACAACAUUUGAAAACCAUACCCCUUCAAUACAAUGGUUUAAAAUACAUGGGGGGUUCAUAGGUGCUCUGCUGUGAUAGGCUAAAAUAAAUGUUGUUUAGUGAUCACCAGAGAGGAGAAAGGAAGGAGGGAAGGCAGGAACGAAGAUAUGAGAUGUAGAGGAGCUGACACUGACUGCUUUGCUUUCUGUUGUUUCCUGUUUCCCUGGUGACCAAGCCAUAUCUGAUGAUGUCAUGGCUGCGAGGGUGUGUGAGAGACACUGAUAUCGUAACUACUGUCCUUUUACUAGGUCAUAAUAUAAGCUUCCUACACCCCACCCAGACCCCUCCCUCUUCAAGUAUAGACUUAACAUACACUUCCCACCUUUUUAAAAUCCUAACUCCUCCUUACAGCUGUACAGGACCCCACCUCCAUCCCACCUCUCCUAAUAUCUUCCCAGGACCCCACCAUAGUGCCCUCCGUAUGAACUGUGAGGCAGGAGCGUGAAGCCAGUGUAAAUGUUGCUGACUUGACAGAGCCAGGAGAAGCCAAACAGUCUUCAGAACUUUGCCGCAGUCAGAGAGAGCAUCAGGACAUGUUUCCGUUUUUCAGGAAUACACUAUUUUCAAACUAGCUUGUUUACCAUUAAAAACAAAUGUGGGGAGUCCAUUCAGGUGUCUUUUUACCCCUGCUCCGUUAGUUCACAAACAUUACAUUCAACCACAGCUAGAGGGAAAUCAGUCAGACCGUUAUGCCUCGUGUUCCUAUGGUAAACAUGUCAAAACAUGUUAGUGUAUAUUUUGGCUGAAAACAAGGUGUUUACGAGGGCAUAGUGUCAUUCUAUUCAGGGGUUACAUGGUUUUAGUGGGUAGGCGGUCAUUGUAAAUAAGAACGUUCUUGACUGACUUGCCUAGUUAAAGGUGAAAUAAAAUAAAAAUCCUU